UUGUAAACAACUUUCACUUCUCAUAUUUUGUUUGACGUAAAAAUUUGCUUUCUUGACACCUUAUUAAUAAUUAAAUUAAUCAAAAGUAACAUUGAUUGACUUAUUAUUAAUUGAUUCCUGAGAAGAUACCUGAUUUCGCGAGGUGAAGUGACCAGAAAAAAUUAACGAGAAGGUAAACGUUAAAGUUGAAGCCUGAUGUCUCCGAAAAACACUGAACAGAAAGAUUGGAAAACAUUUUGAUAUUGACUAUAACUUCAAAAUGCGAAUACGAAAGAAGCACAUGUCAAUGAAAAUACGCUUAUUUCCAAAAAUAUGUCGGGGGGAUGAUGGCUCGAGUGACUCACAUCGAGCCCCAAUCACGGAGGAAAAUAGGUCAGCCGAUGUCACACCUGCCCAUAAAGAGAAGGCCCAUCUUGCUAAUUUACCUCGGCUGGGAAUAAUUGUCCGUCUACCUCCAUAGGCUAAAAUAUAAGGGCCUGAACCAAUGGGUCGACAUCGUGACGACGAUAUAUGCUGAGGCCCUCCCCAUCAUCUCACGAAAUCGUCCAUAUCUCGGUCCUACGAGUUCCUAACGAUGAAAAUCGACUAGAUACUAUUCAUGAUCAUGACCCUUUAAAGGAUUUUGGAAGUAUUAUGUGAGCGAAAACCCGGAAGAAGCAGUAAUGAGGCUUAAGAAACGUUCUCGGUCGCCACAUGCAGGUCACACCCUUUCAAUUCGCCGAGCUUCAUCUCCAUUCAUUCCGAAAUGGUCGCUAUCUCCUCUUCGUAAAACACCAUGUCUCCAUCUCCUAAACAGUCAAAGAUUUACCCUUUCCACCACAAGUACAUUACGUCGGGGGACAGGGUCGUUAGAUGUGGACAACACAUUUGAAGUUUGACUCCGCCAUUUGAUUCGACCGUAAAAUCGCCUGGUUAGUGCGGAUGGAACUGGUAGCAAUAAAGCGAAGAAAUAAUGGCGAGAUCUUGACCCAAUUUUGCGAAGACGAAUUUGCUUAUAGCUCGUCGAAACCGUUGGUACAAAUUCUAGAAAUUGGACCUGCUUGCCAAUGUGAUAGAUGCCAACGCGACGGAUGUGUGACACCUUACUCUGAUAUUGGGUCGAGAUAUACUAUGAUAGAGGAUAAGCACGAGACCAAAGCUCCUAUCGGUGCGUGGAGAAAACGUCAUAUUUGAUAAACGGUCGCCCAUCACAGUUCAAUCAAUCAGUAUGAAGCUGGAAAUAGAAAGUCCGAAAAAUUUACGGUAGCAGAUAUUUGAACUUUACCACCGGAAAUGGAUCGGUCAGAUGACAGAGUGGACUCAAGUCACUUGACUCAAGUGGUGACAGGAUUUAGAAGUGACGGGAAAAUGAGGCAGAAUACAGGGACAGAAGUUUACGACGAUCACGAGGCUGCCAGAGCGAGAACGACGUGACCGGCUUGACCGACGUCCUCUUAGUAGUCGGUUAAAUGACCUCGGGCAGCAUCAUGCUCCCUCAACCUCUUCUCUGACAUGUCUCCCGCAACAGUUUAGUUUACCUGGGAGGAGUCCGGAUCGAAGUGGUGAUUCUUACACUCGAAUGAUGAUACCCUUGUCCGUUGAUCGCUGGGUGACAAUCUGACGAAGAUUGAGCCGUCAAGACGAAAAAGAAGACAAAGAAACGCAAGUCAGAUUCCUGUCGUUAAUAUUCGUCACACUCUUCAGACGAGACACACACAAAAGCCAAGAAACGGAAGAAAUAGCAAUGUUAAUGUUGUACAAGUUUUGUUUACAAAACCCUGGUGAAAUGCGUCAACGAUUUUAUUCCCAAAUUUUUCGAUUCUCAUUACGUAAUGAUACCGAUCAAUUACUACUCUAAUAUAUUUUUUGACGACAAGGAAUAUAAAAAUACUUAUACCGAUCGCGUGGAAUAAUCUAUUACUUAUCAUACUCUUUAUUUCCCUUGCCAGACAAACAAAUGGAUAAAUAAAAUGUAUUACAAUAUU